rnacentral:rRNA from 1 species
CCUACGGGUGGCAGCAGUGAGGAAUAUUGGUCAAUGGGCGGGAGCCUGAACCAGCCAAGUCGCGUGAGGGAAUAAGGCCCUACGGGUCGUAAACCUCUUUUGCCGGGGAGCAAGGGCCGGGACGAGUCCCGGUCCGGAGAGUACCCGGAGAAAAAGCAUCGGCUAACUCCGUGCCAGCAGCCGCGGUAAUACGGAGGAUGCGAGCGUUAUCCGGAUUUACUGGGUGUAAAGGGAGCGUAGACGGUGCGCCAAGGCUGGAGGGAAAUGCCGCAGCUUAACUGCGGAACUGCUUUGGAAACUGGCGAACUAGAGUGCGGGAGAGGUAAGCGGAAUUCCUAGUGUAGCGGUGAAAUGCGUAGAUAUUAGGAGGAACACCGGUGGCGAAGGCGGCUUACUGGACCGUAACUGACGUUGAGGCUCGAAAGCGUGGGGAGCAAACAGGAUUAGAUACCCUUGUAGUC